GCCCAGAUGGCGAAACUGGUAGACGCAUUGCGCUUAGAACGCAACGCCGCGAGGUGUGCAGGUUCGAAUCCUGUUCUGGGCA
rnacentral:tRNA from 1 species